AGCUUACAUUUUCCUGAUGAGUAACAGCAUUGUAUGUUUGUGUCUGCUGUUAUAAAGGUCACAACUUUUUUGACCCAUCUAUCUCUUGGCUGCAUGCAUAUUGAUGGCUGACUGGGAGGAACUAUUUACAUGGUCUAGGUACAAGUCCUUUCUCCAGCUUGCAUUUGGAAAUGUUUAGCUCAGUCUGUGGCUUAGUGUAUUUUGGUAGAAUCUUACUUUGAGGAGUCUCUAAUUUUUUAAGUAUUUUGUUUUAUGUUAUAUCAUCCUUCAAUAAACUUAAAUCUUGAUCAUUCUCAGAAAAAAUAUUAAAAUCAUUACUAAAUUGUAAAUACAUUCUCCUUUUCUUAUGAGAACUUCUUCAAUUAUCAUUUUAGCUUUUACAUUAACGGUGGUGGUGAAUCUCAAAUGGGUUUUGUAAAUUGUAAGUUAGAGGUUAAAUGUGUCCUCCAGCAAUCCCUCUGUAGGAAACUCAACCCUCAACUUUCCUGUCAAUCACAUUUGGAGGUGGGACCUUUGGAAGGCGCUAGAAUUAGACAGUUCAUGAAGGAGGAUGUCACAUUGAUGACAGGUGCUGCUUAUAAAAGGAAAAUGACUCAGGGGGUACAGUGUUUGUUGUUUAGGUAUAAGGCCUCUUGUUCAGGUCUCCAGCCCCCAUGUAAAGGCUGCCAUAGCGGCACUUUGUAACUUUAUCAGGUUGGGUGGAUGCAGGAAGCCAGCUAGUCCAGCCAAAAUAAUGAGCUAUGGAUUUCCUAAGAGAUUCUGUCUCAAAAACUAAGUGGAAAGCAACUGAGGAAGAGAACAGACAUUAAUCACUCCCCAAACACCUGUGGACAUUUGACUUACACACAUACUGAAAUAAAAUAAAAAGAAAACGAGGCGGGAGAGUGACCUAAACUAGUGUGCUUGCUCUCUGUGUGGGAUGUUGGCAGCCAUGUUGAACAGAAGAUUGAAUUCCCUCAAAAUGGUAAGGUGGCCAUUCUCCAGUGGAAAGCCACACUACCAAGAAUAUUUCCGGAGUACAAAUUGGUUUUGAAGAGUUUUAAAUUAGCAGGGGCGAAGGCAGACACAAAGAUGGUUGGGUAGGUUUGGAAUGUGGAUUAAUUAAAACAAAACAAAACAAAACAAAACAAAACAAAACUCCCAAAACUGCAAAUUCUGGUACUCUGCUCUUGGAUGGCUCAGCCUACAGAAUGCUUAGCCAAUAAACGUCCACUCAUUAUAGGUUACCUCUGUUGAAGGAUGAUGCUGCAGCCACAGAAGAUGGAGUGAGGCAAGAGUCAACUUUAGCUGGAAUGAAAUGGCUGAGGAAGUGAGGUUUAUUUUCUUUGUUCUGUUCCAUUGAUGCAUUUAUGGAUCUUAUGCCAGGACCAGUCUUGUUUGCUGAAGCUUUUUAUGGAGAGCCAUGAAUUUAAAAUUGCUCCAGUUUUGACCUUCUUUUUUCAGGAUUACUUUCAUAUAUUCUGGAUCUUUUGCAGUUCCAUAUAAAUUUACGAAUUCUUUCAUGGAUCUCUACACAGUGACCUGCUGUGCUCUGGCUGCACUUGGGUUGUGUCUGUUGGUGGCUCUGGGUACUGUGCCAGCUUCCCAGCUCUUACUCGCCGUUUCUGAGUGUGGGGUGGCUGUCCGUUCCUGUAGAGAUGCUCAGAUUCUUCUCAAUAGCAUUCAUUACCUUCCUGGUGCAUGUCAUCUGUGCCUGUCUGAAUAUUCAUGGUUAUUCACUACCAGAAAUUGGAUUAUUGUCUGAGUUUGUAACACACCAUUUGUUCUCUUUAUUGUCCAUUUUUUCUUUCUUUUGCUAUAUUACUAAUUUUACAAAAUUGUUUGAUAGAUCUGUUAGGAUCUUUAGUUUCAUAAUCACACUGACUAUGAGGAUCUUUGCUUCUUAUUUAUAUUUCUGAUGAAAUACUCAACACAAGCGGUGAGGUGGGAACCCUUUACUUCUCAAAGAGAAACACUGUGAUUCUUUUAUCUCUCAUCAUUGCUUUACAUUUGUUGGUGAAGUUUAUAAGAACAACUUUAUAUGAGCUUUUAAUUUCACAUUCUUGCUUCUGUUGCACACACCUGUCUCUGAUGUUUGUGUAUAGUCAGGAUAGAACGCAGAUAUUCCUGUGAACUCUCCCUGCCAUACCUGUUACCUACUUUUGUCACAGGUAACGUACUGCAUUUUUAUAAUGUGGGAAGGCUACUUAAUAAGCAGAUUAAGCCAGUCUUAAAAUAAUAUUAGCCCUUUAAAAUGUAAGGUAGUCUAUAUGACUUGCUCUUAGACUUGUGAGUGGUCAAAACUUUCAGUCUAAUUGCUAUGAUUCCACAAAUACAAACUAGUUUUAAAA
rnacentral:lncRNA from 1 species